CGGCUGCUCAGUAACACGUAGUCAACCUAACCUAUGGACGGGAAUAACCUCGGGAAACCGAGAAUAAUGCCCGAUAGAACACUAUACCUGGAAUGGUUUGUGUUCCAAAUGAUUUAUCGCCGUAGGAUGGGACUGCGGCCUAUCAGUUUGUUGGUGAGGUAAUGGCCCACCAAGACUAUUACAGGUACGGGCUCUGAGAGGAGUAGCCCGGAGAUGGGUACUGAGACACGGACCCAGGCCCUAUGGGGCGCAGCAGGCGAGAAAACUUUGCAAUGUGCGAAAGCACGACAAGGUUAAUCCGAGUGGUUUCUGCUAAAGGAACCUUUUGUUAGUCCUAGAAACACUAACGAAUAAGGGGUGGGCAAGUUCUGGUGUCAGCCGCCGCGGUAAAACCAGCACCUCAAGUGGUCAGGAUGAUUAUUGGGCCUAAAGCAUCCGUAGCCGGCUCUGUAAGUUUUCGGUUAAAUCUGUACGCUCAACGUACAGGCUGCCGGGAAUACUGCAGAGCUAGGGAGUGGGAGAGGUAGACGGUACUCGGGAGGAAGUGGUAAAAUGCUUUGAUCUCUCGAUGACCACCUGUGGCGAAGGCGGUCUACCAGAACACGUCCGACGGUGAGGGAUGAAAGCUGGGGGAGCAAACCGGAUUAGAUACCCGGGUAGUCCCAGCUGUAAACUAUGCAAACUCAGUGAUGCAUUGGCUUGUGGCCAAUGCAGUAUUGCAGGGAAGCCGUUAAGUUUGCCGCCUGGGAAGUACGUACGCAAGUAUGAAACUUAAAGGAAUUGGCGGGGGAGCAG
rnacentral:rRNA from 1 species